CAGCAGCCGCGGUAAUACGAAGGGUGCAAGCGUUAAUCGGAAUUACUGGGCGUAAAGCGUGCGUAGGCGGUUUGUUAAGCCUGUUGUGAAAUCCCCGGGCUCAACCGGGGAACUGGCACAGAUACGACCAGUCUGGAGGGAGGUAGGGGGGUCUGGAACUUCCGGUGGAGCGGUGAAAUGCGUUGAGAUCGGAAGGAACAUCAGUGGCGAAGGCGGCCAUCUGGGACAACACUGACGCUGAGGCACGAAAGCGUGGGGAGCAAACAGGAUUAGAUACCCGAGUAGUCCCUGUCUCUUAUAA
rnacentral:rRNA from 1 species